rnacentral:lncRNA from 13 species
GCAAAGUGAUGCAACGUGAGAAGGACUCAACACACCAUUGCUGGCUUUGAAGAUGGAGGAAGGGGCCAUGAGCCAAUAAAUGCAGGUGACCACUAAAAAUUGGAAAAGGUCAUCCCCGUGCUUCCCAGCCAGCAUCUGCAGCUCCUCAUACUUGAUCUGACGAAAUGCUCUCAGCCUCAGCCCGGCUGCGGUUGGCGAUCUCCUCGGGCUGCACCUUGACCUCAGCGAGCGGCUGUUGAACAUGGACAGCAACACAGACGAGUCUGAGAUCUGGGACUGCAGCUCCCUCGUCUCCUCUUCAUACAGGUACCUGAGGAAGUUGAUCUCGUCAGUCAGCCCCUGCAGCCAUCCUAUGAAAUUAACAACUUUGUUAACCGCAAGUGAAGGAACCUGAAACUGAAUGAUUCACUCUGGAUCCUGCGCUGAUGAGUAAAAUGACUAAGAAGCCAGAAUGGACUGGCAUGCAUUCCUCUGGAGCAAUCUGAAUAACAGGGAUUACAAUGACAUCAACAGGGCUUGGAAGGACUGAACAGGGAGCAAUCAUGGUGCCAAAGGGCCCUGUGGAGGUCUUUGGGGAUGAGCUCUGCUGUCUCCACCUGGCCCUCCCUUUCCCUGGGACACAGGUUUAACUUGGGCAGAUAUCUUUCUAAGUGCAUAUUUUCUUUUUUUUUUAAUUGCAUUUUAGGUUUUGGGGUA